AAGGAGAGGGAGGAACAGAAAAGGAAUAGGCGGAUGAAUCGAGCCUUGCUUUUUUAUUUGUUUUUUCACAUCCAGUUUCUUCGGCUUUCUUCUCUUUUUCUUCUUCUUCUUCUUCUUCUUCUCCU
rnacentral:ribozyme from 12 species